rnacentral:misc_RNA from 1 species
GUCGCUGAAGAUUAUGUUUGGCAUGACAAUUUCAUUGCUUCCACUAUCUUCAAUAUUAAUCUGUUCUUCAUUUUUAAUUCUCACAUCUCGCACCCGUUCAUCCUGAUCAGUGGAAGCCAUUGAAUGGGUUGUUGAAGAAGGAACUGUAUCCAAACAAUCCUCUUUGCUUGUUGGCAUGUUGGGUUCAUUGGCUGGGGCUUU